GCCCCGGAAGGGACAUGUCCGUAUGGCGAAGCGACAACGAAGGACACUCACCCGGACGAGAAUUUUAUUGAGUUUUAUUUUAAAAUCGGCCUGAAACACACAGACAUUCAAGCAGUGCGAUGCGCUAAGAGUCUGCCAUGCAGACCAGCGAUCCUGAUAAUGUUGUCGGCCUUGGAUGAUGAGGUCCAGUUACCAGGAGCACUAGUCUGCAGCUUACUGGUUCCGUCUUGCAGCUCCUCCACGCUGUCCUCCUCUCUACAGACCAAAUCAAGAAAAGGGAACCAGGAAGCUGCUGUGGAUCCUCUGCAGUAUCUGGAGAGGUCAGAGGAACGGUUCUUGGAACAGAUCGGAAGACACCAAGACGUGACCUCUGCCAUGCUCCAGAACAUCCAGAAGAUGAAUGAAAACCUUGGUUGCACUGAUGGGACGCAUGGUGUCGGUGCUGGAGCAACUGUCCCAGAAUUAAACUGCAUUGUUGACUAUUGGCUUUUCUAGAAAAUAAAUCUUUUUUAGUACUUCAC